GACGAACGCUGGCGGCGUGCUUAACACAUGCAAGUCGAACGGAAAGGCCCUGCUUGCAGGGUACUCGAGUGGCGAACGGGUGAGUAACACGUGGGUGAUCUGCCCUGCACUUCGGGAUAAGUCUGGGAAACUGGGUCUAAUACCGGAUAGGAGCCAUAUUUAGUGUGAUGGUUGGAAAGUUUUUUCGGUGUUAGAUGAGCGGGCAGCCUAUCAGCUUGUUGGUGGGGUAAUGGCCUACCAAGGCGGCGGCGGGUAGCCCACCUGAGAAGGUGGACGGCGACCAUACGACUGAGGGAGGGAGCAGUAGGCAACGGGAGGCAAUGGGGGAGAGUCUGACGGAAUGGGGGCGAGCCUGAGACGGCGGCGCCGCGUGGGGAAUGACCGCUUUCGGGGUAUGAACAACUUUGGCUGGAGACGAAGCUGUUGUGACGGUACCUAGAUAAAAAGCACCGGCUAACUACGUG
rnacentral:rRNA from 1 species